CUCAUCUGUAGUUGUAUCUGUCAUGUGUGAAUAUAUAGCUGUGUAUGUUUGUUAUCUAAAAGGAGGAAGUGGGGAGGCUGAAGGAGGAAGUGGGGAGGCUGAAGGAGGAAGUGGAGGAGUGCACAGGGAAGUGUAAGACCGCCCUGACGGAACUAAAGAAAAACUUGGACGGACAAACGACCCUCCACGGACGGUUGGGGACGGACCUGAAAUCCAUCCAGGGGGAACUAUCCAAGUUCACCAUCAGGUUUACUACCCUGAAUGACUCUGUGAAGGGGCUAGGUCAUACAGUCCAGAGCCAUGGCAACACCAUCACAGACCUGGGCUCUACCAAGGAUAACAUCAUGUCUGAGUUGGACCACGUGCAGACAGAGCUGACGAGCACGUCAAGGACACCAGGGGGCGCUUCACUGACCUGGGUCGUGAGAUAAAGACCAUCACAGUCAAUACGUGACGGAGAUUGGGGAGUGUUGGCGGUCCGGGGACGGGCUGGACAAGAGGCUUUCCAAGAUGGAGGACGUCUGUGGCCGGCUGGAUGGUGUCCUCCAACAGCCUGGCCAAGAUCAAGGAGGGGCUGAACAGACACGUGUCAGGGCUGUGGAACUGUGUCAACACGCUCAAUCUACGGUCAUCUUCCACGACGAGUCCAUCCGACAACAUCCAGCACGUCCAGCUUCCAGACGUUCACUCUGACAUCAACAGGCUCAACACCUCUGUCCUCAACGUCCUCGAGGAGUUCCACAGCUUAAACAACAGGACUUUGUUGGUGAGUGUACUAAAGGGAGGUGAAGUGCAAUGUGCCAAAUUGUUGGGCAAAAGAACCUUUUAGUAACUAGCCAAGUCAUUGAGUUGAUGACAAUUUUCUCCUCAGGGAGGGACAAUAAAGUGCAUCCAUAUACUAUUUUCAGUUGAUUGGACUUUAAGAGUGAAGUUAAGUGCACGUCUAAGAUACACACAGUGAUUAAAAGUAUCCGCCAAACAUCUCAUUCCAAAAUCAUGAGCAUUAAUAAGGAGUAGUCCCCCCCUUUGCUGUCUAUCACAGCCUCCAGUCUUUUGGGAAGCCUUUCCACUAGAUGUUGGGAACGUUGCGGCUAUAACAGCCUCCAGUCUUCUGGGAAGGCUUUCCACUAGAUGUUGGAACAUUGCUGCUAUAACAGCCUCUACUCUUCUGGCAAGGCUUUGCCACUAGAUGUUGGAACAUUGCUGCUAUAACAGCCUCUACUCUCUGGGAAAUUUUUCCACUAGAUGUUGGAACAUUGCUGCAUAAACAGCCUGCACUCUUCUGCGAAGGCUUUCCCCUAGAUUGUGGAACAUUGCUGCUAUAACAGCCUGCACUCUUCUGGGAAGGCUUUCCACUAGAUGUUGGAAC
rnacentral:lncRNA from 1 species